CCUACGGGUGGCUGCAGUGGGGAAUAUUGGGCAAUGGAGGCAACUCUGACCCAGCAACGCCGCGUGAAUGAUGAAGGUCUUCGGAUUGUAAAGCUCUUUUCUAAGGGAAGAAGAAAGUGACGGUACCUUAGGAAUAAGCCUCGGCUAACUACGUGCCAGUAGCCGCGGCAAUACGUAGGAGGCAAGCGUUAUCCGGAAUGACUGGGCGUAAAGGGUGCGUAGGUGGUUUGACAAGUUAGUAGCGCAACUCCGGGGCUCAACUUCGGAACUACUACUAAAACUGUUGGACUUGAGUGCAGGAGGGACAGUCGGAAUGCAUGGUGUAGCGGUGGAAUGCGUAGAUAUUAGGAGGAACACCGAUGGCGAAGGCGGAUUACUAGACUGUAACUGACGCUGAGGCACGAAAGCGUGGGGAGCAAACAGGAUUAGAUACCCGGGUAGUC
rnacentral:rRNA from 1 species